AGUUAUUUAACUAUAUAUUAUACUAUUCAUAGUAAAACAUUAUAUAUACACCUUUACUUUUAAAAUUACUUUCUCAUAUGUCAGAAAAAUUCUGUACUGUAAAUUGCUUUUCAAAAGUCAUAGAGCCAGUGAUAGCCAGUGUGUUUUAAUUCAAACUCUUGAAUUGUUUCUCUAAGUCAUGAUGCAAAUUAAUGAAAGUUAUUUCCUGUUGUAGUUAUUGUAUCACAAAUAAUGGGUUCACCAAUGAAGAACAUGUUCAAAGGUUUCAAGGGGCCACCUACUCCAAUCCCUGGGAAAUUCAAGACAUUGUCAGGACAAUCAGCCACCUGCAUUCCCUACCUCCAUCAUGCUGGGAUCAGCUUUAGUCAACCCUUCAGGUGACUUGAUUUGGUUAUAAGCUGUGGG
ensembl:lincRNA